AAAGGGGCUUCCCCCCUGCUCCACCUUUUUUUAGGGAAAUUAUGGAGAUGAUUUGAUUGUAUUUUUUCUCUAAAGUACUCACGUUGCUCACAUAAUUAAGCGAAUAUUGCAACAGCGGAAGGACCAUUGGAUUGAGUAUAUUUAUUACUAUAUAUAAGGGCAUAAACCUGCAGAAAGCAAAGCUGCAAAGGGGUGGAAAGAAACGGAAUGGGACGUGGAUCGAUCUGGGGCGAUCGAUGGUACAUAUUCCUCUACGGGAACGCACACCGCACUAUGGGCA
rnacentral:lncRNA from 1 species